rnacentral:rRNA from 1 species
AUUGAACGCUGGCGGCAGGCUUAACACAUGCAAGUCGAGCGGGGUGAUGGUGCUUGCACUAUCACUUAGCGGCGGACGGGUGAGUAAUGCUUAGGAAUCUGCCCUGAAGUGGGGGAUAACUUGGGGAAACUCAAGCUAAUACCGCAUAGACCUAAGGGUGAAAGAUGGGGAUCUUCGGACCUAUCGCUUCAGGAGGAGCCUGCGUCGGAUUAGCUAGUUGGUAGGGUAAAGGCCUACCAAGGCGACGAUCCGUAGCUGGUCUGAGAGGAUGACCAGCCACACUGGGACUGAGACACGGCCCAGACUCCUACGGGAGGCAGCAGUGGGGAAUAUUGGACAAUGGGCGCAAGCCUGAUCCAGCCAUGCCGCGUGUGUGAAGAAGGCUCUAGGGUUGUAAAGCACUUUAAGUUGUGAGGAAGUUAUGUGUGUAAAUAAUGCGCAUAAUUGACGUUAGCAACAAAAUAAGCACCGGCUAACUCCGUGCCAGCCGCCGCGGUAA